rnacentral:rRNA from 1 species
GAUGAACGCUGGCGGCGUGCCUAAUACAUGCAAGUCGAGCGAACAGACGAGGAGCUUGCUCCUCUGACGUUAGCGGCGGACGGGUGAGUAACACGUGGAUAACCUACCUAUAAGACUGGGAUAACUUCGGGAAACCGGAGCUAAUACCGGAUAAUAUAUUGAACCGCAUGGUUCAAUAGUGAAAGACGGUUUUGCUGUCACUUAUAGAUGGAUCCGCGCCGCAUUAGCUAGUUGGUAAGGUAACGGCUUACCAAGGCAACGAUGCGUAGCCGAUCUGAGAGGGUGAUAGGCCACACUGGAACUGAGACACGCUCCAGCCUCCUACGGGAGGCAGCAGUAGGGAAUCUGCCGCAAUGGGCGAAAGCCUUACGGAACAACGCCGAGUGAGUGAUGAAGGUCUUCGGAUCGUAAAACUCUGUUAUUAGGGAAGAACAAAUGUGUAAGUAACUAUGCACGUCUUGACGGUACCUAAUCAGAAAGCCACGGCUAACUACGUG